AUUGAACGCUGGCGGCAGGCCUAACACAUGCAAGUCGAGCGAGCGGCGGACGGGUGAGUAAUGUAUGGGGACUGCCCGAUAGAGGGGGAUAACUACUGGAAACGGUGGCUAAUACCGCAUACUAUCGGAUAACCCAUAUGGGAUUAGCUAGUAGGUGGGGUAAAGGCUCACCUAGGCGACGAUCUCUCGCUGGUCUGAGGGGAUGAUCACACAAAUGGGGACUGAGACACGGCCCGGACUCUUACGGUGGAAGCAGGGGGGAAUAUUGCACAAUGGGCGAAAGCCUGAUGCAGCCAUGCCGCGUGUAGGAAGAAGGCCUUAGGGUUGUAAAGUCCUUUCAGCGGGGAGGCGUUACCCGCAGAAGAAGCACCGGCUAACUCCGUGCCAGCCGCCGCGGUAAUAC
rnacentral:rRNA from 1 species